rnacentral:misc_RNA from 1 species
CCGAGUGCGGGCCUCGCGGCCCAACCUCCCACCCUUGUCUCUAUACACCUGUUGCUUUGGCGGGCCCACCGGGGCCACCUGGUCGCCGGGGGACGCACGUCCCCGGGCCCGCGCCCGCCGAAGCGCUCUGUGAACCCUGAUGAAGAUGGGCAGUCUGAGUACUAUGAAAAUUGUCA